rnacentral:rRNA from 1 species
CAGGCCUAAUACAUGCAAGUCGAGGGGUAGAGCUAGCUUGCUAGCUUGAGACCGGCGCACGGGUGCGUAACGCGUAUGCAACCUACCUUCAUCAGGGGGAUAGCCCGGAGAAAUCCGGAUUAACACCGCAUGAAAUCACAGAACGGCAUCGUUCAAUGAUCAAACAUUUAUGGGAUGGGGAUGGGCAUGCGUGUCAUUAGUUAGUUGGCGGGGUAACGGCCCACCAAGACCGCGAUGACUAGGGGAUCUGAGAGGAUGACCCCCCACACUGGUACUGAGACACGGACCAGACUCCUACGGGAGGCAGCAGUAAGGAAUAUUGGUCAAUGGGCGAGAGCCUGAACCAGCCAUGCCGCGUGCAGGAAGACGGCCCUCUGGGUUGUAAACUGCUUUUACUCGGGAAUAAACCUGCUUACGUGUAAGUAGCUGAAUGUACCGAGGGAAUAAGGAUCGGCUAACUCCGUGCCAGCAGCCGCGGUAAUACGGAGGAUCCAAGCGUUAUCCGGAUUUAUUGGGUUUAAAGGGUGCGUAGGCGGCCUGUUAAGUCAGGGGUGAAAGACGGUAGCUCAACUAUCGCAGUGCCCUUGAUACUGAUGGGCUUGAAUGGACUAGAGGUAGGCGGAAUGUGACAAGUAGCGGUGAAAUGCAUAGAUAUGUCACAGAACACCGAUUGCGAAGGCAGCUUACUAUGGUCCUAUUGACGCUGAGGCACGAAAGCGUGGGGAUCAAACAGGAUUAGAUACCCUGGUAGUCCACGCCCUAAACGAUGAACACUCGCUGUU